rnacentral:rRNA from 1 species
GACGAACGCUGGCGGCGUGCUUAACACAUGCAAGUCGAACGGAAAGGCCCUGCUUUUGUGGGGUGCUCGAGUGGCGAACGGGUGAGUAACACGUGAGUAACCUGCCCUUGACUUUGGGAUAACUUCAGGAAACUGGGGCUAAUACCGGAUAGGAGCUCCUGCUGCAUGGUGGGGGUUGGAAAGUUUCGGCGGUUGGGGAUGGACUCGCGGCUUAUCAGCUUGUUGGUGGGGUAGCGGCUUACCAAGGCUUUGACGGGUAGCCGGCCUGAGAGGGUGACCGGCCACAUUGGGACUGAGAUACGGCCCAGACUCCUACGGGAGGCAGCAGUGGGGAUUAUUGCACAAUGGGCGGAAGCCUGAUGCAGCAACGCCGCGUGCGGGAUGAAGGCCUUCGGGUUGUAAACCGCUUUCGCCUGUGACGAAGCGUGAGUGACGGUAAUGGGUAAAGAAGCACCGGCUAACUACGUG